AAAUGAUCUCUCCAUAGUAAAGCGAGAGUCCAGAGGAAACGUUGGCAAUAUAAUAACAUUCUUAGCUCCCAACUUGAAGUCAACAUCAACAAAAGACAUCCAUCCUCUAUCAAUGGACAAUAUGCGCAUUGCUCUACUUUUCCUCCAGUCGCCCAUUUCCCACUCCCAGAACUCUUUAAAUUCAGUAGCCUCAUCUGAACAAGUUUUUGAAUUAUUUGGAAGUGAUCCAUGUCCAUUCAAUUGGAGAAGAUGUUUGUGCUGAUUUGACUCAUGAUGCCUCUUUAAAUUCUUACCAAACUUUGUAUGCAGAUGCCCACAUAAGUAAGCUGACAAGUUAUGCGUCAGAAAUGUCUCUUUCAAGGUUCUUCCAGAUUGUGAUGCUGCAGAAAAUGAAAGUGGGAAAUGCCCAUAAGCAAUCUUGGUAACAGGUUUGGCGGGUUGAGAAUCUAGUACUGAGAGCUCAGAGCUUAUUUCAUCUAAUAGUUGAUCAGUGGGAUGACCAAAUAGAUUGGUUGGGCCCCGCAGACCUAAAGACAUA
rnacentral:misc_RNA from 1 species